CCCACCUGGUAUCCCCAGGUCUAAAUCAAUCCCUGAUUAGAGGGGAAUCACCCACCUGGUGUCCCAGGUCUAAAUCAGGCCCUGAUUAGAGGGGAAGAAUGAACAGAGUUGAUUUUGAGGGUGUUAGAGAAACUGAACUAAAAAGCAGGUUUGCUCACUACCGUGAAGCUGAAACAAACUCAGCUACGGAUACAUUCAGAAAUCUGAUUUAUCUAUACAGAUAGCUGAUGAUCCAGAUAGCUGAUGAUCCAGAUAGCUGAUGAUCCAGCUACCUGUAUAGCUAAGAAAUGCUAAGAAACACAUUUUAAUUGAAAUGCAUUAAAUCACAGGAGUAUAUCAAAUCUACAAGAAGUGAAUGACUCAGCAUGAUAAGACUGGAGCAUGAUAAGACUGAUAAGACUGGAGAUGAACUCAGAUAACUGGAAACGGUAGACCACUGUAUACACCAUAGCUACAGGACCCAUAUUGUCUGUCUAUGGUAUACACUGUCUGCUCUCAGCAGACACAUUGUGUGCUCUGAAACACUGUACUGGAACCACAGAAUUAGAAUGACUCUGAUUCUAAGAUUCUAUGAUUCUAUACACUGUACUGGAACCACAGAAUUAGAAUGACUCUGAUUCUAUGAUUCUAUACACUGUACUGAAACCACAGAAUUAGAAUGACUCUGAUUCUAUGAUUCUAUGAUUCUAAUUCUAUACACUGUACUGGAACCACAGAAUUAGAAUGACUCUGAUUCUAUGAUUCUAAUUCUAUACACUGUACUGGAACCACAGAAUUAGAAUGACUCUGAUUCUAUGAUUCUAAUUCUAUACACUGUACUGGAACCACAGAAUUAGAAUGACUCUGAUUCUAAGAUUCUAUGAUUCUAAUUCUAUACACUGUACUGGAACCACAGAAUUAGAAUGACUCUGAUUCUAUGAUUCUAUGAUUCUAUACACUGUACUGGAACCACAGAAUUAGAAUGACUCUGAUUCUAUGAUUCUAUGAUUCUAUGAUUCUAAUUCUAUACACUGUACUGGAACCACAGAAUUAGAAUGACUCUGAUUCUAUGAUUCUAUGAUUCUAUACACUGUACUGGAACCACAGAGUUAGAAUGACUCUGAUUCUAUGAUUCUAAUUCUAUACACUGUACGGUGACAUUGGUAUGCGCUGUAUACUGUAGAAUCCCAGCAGCUGAUAACGGCAUUGAUCAGGUCCAACAAGGGACGAUAUGUUACAAGAACACUGGACAUUUUCACACUGUAUCUUGCCCACUGGAUUUAAUAAUACUUAACCACUAGCCAAAUACAAUGUGUGUUUAAGAAGUACUUUCUUAGCUAUAUAUUUUCUGUUUUAUUUUGUUUGAAUGGUAGAAGAUCAGAGAUGACUUUCUGCUCUGGAUCGUGAUGUUGAUAGUCUCUCCAGACAUGUUGAUAGUCUCUCCCGUAGUCUCUCCAGACAUCUGCUUUGCCUCCCACAAUUUUCAAAUGCUCCAACUUAGGGUCUGGUUUUCAAGACUAGACAACACAAGUAUUGACAUCUGAACUGCGUUUUUUUUAAACCGCUGGUGCCUUAUCUUUCUCUAUAAAACAGGAAGGCUGUCAUCUUAUCUCCAGACAGAAGCAGCUCAUGGACUUGAUUGAAUGCUGUUCAUGUCUGAGCCUAUAGAGGCAUCCAUUUUGUGAUCUGGGUCUUGUAUAACCGAACAAGAAAGAAAGGGUUACCAGAGGUUACUCUAACACCUUCCUGAAUGAGUCCAGAGGUCACUCUACAACCUUCCUGAAUGAGUCCAGAAGUCACUCUAACAUUCUCCUGAAUGAGUCCAGAUGUCACUCUAACAUUCUCCUGAAUGAGUCCAGAGGUCACUCUAACAUUCUCCUGAAUGAGUCCAGAGGUCACUAACAUUCUCCUGAAUGAGUCCAGAGGUCACUCUAACAUUCUCCUGAAUGAGUCCAGAGGUCACUAACAUUCUCCUGAAUGAGUCCAGAGGUCACUCUAACACCUUCCUGAAUGAGUCCAGAGGUCACUCUAACAUUCUCCUGAAUGAGUCCAGAGGUCACUAACAUUCUCCUGAAUGAGUCCAGAGGUCACUCUAACACCUUCCUGAAUGAGUCCAGAGGUCACUCUAACACCUUCCUGAAUGAGUCCAGAGGUCACUCUAACACCUUCCUGAAUGAGUCCAGAGGUCACACUAACACCUUCCUGAAUGAGUCCAGAGGUCACUCUAACACCUUCCUGAAUGAGUCCAGAGGUCACUAUAACACCUUCCUGAAUGAGUCCAGAGGUCACUCUAACACCUUCCUGAAUGAGUCCAGAGGUCACUCUAACACCUUCCUGAAUGAGUCCAGAGGUCACUCUAACACCUUCCUGAAUGAGUCCAGAGGUCACUCUAACACCUUCCUGAAUUAGUCCAGAGGUCACUCUAACACCUUUCUGAAUGAGUCCAGAGGUCACUCUAACACCUUCCUGAAUGAGUCCAGAGGUCACUCUAACACCUUCCUGAAUGAGUCCAGAGGUCACUCUAACACCUUCCUGAAUGAGUCCAGAGGUCACUCUAACACCUUCCUGAAUGAGUUCAGAGGUCACUCUAACACCUUUCUGAAUGAGUUCAGAGGUCACUCUAACACCUUCCUGAAUUAGUCCAGAGGUCACACUAACACCUUCCUGAAUGAGUUCAGAGGUCACUAACACCUUCCUGAAUGAGUCCAGAGGUCACACUAACACCUUCCUGAAUGAGUUCAGAGGUCACUCUAACACCUUCCUGAAUGAGUUCAGAGGUCACUCUAACACCUUCCUGAAUGAGUCCAGAGGUCACACUAACACCUUCCUGAAUGAGUCCAGAGGUCACACUAACACCUUCCUGAAUGAGUCCAGAGGUCACUCUAACACCUUCCUGAAUGAGUCCAGAGGUCACUCUAACACCUUCCUGAAUGAGUUCAGAGGUCACUAACACCUUCCUGAAUGAGUCCAGAGGUCACUAACACCUUCCUGAAUGAGUCCAGAGGUCACUCUAACACCUUCCUGAAUGAGUUCAGAGGUCACUCUAACACCUUCCUGAAUGAGUUCAGAGGUCACUCUAACACCUUCCUGAAUGAGUCCAGAGGUCACUCUAACACCUUCCUGAAUGAGUCCAGAGGUCACUCUAACACCUUCCUGAAUGAGUCCAGAGGUCACUCUAACACCUUCCUGAAUGAGUCCAGAGGUCACUCUAACACCUUCCUGAAUGAGUUCAGAGGUCACUCUAACACCUUCCUGAAUGAGUCCAGAGGUCACACUAACACCUUCCUGAAUGAGUCCAGAGGUCACUCUAACACCUUCCUGAAUGAGUCCAGAGGUCACACUAACACCUUCCUGAAUGAGUCCAGAGGUCACUCUAACACCUUCCUGAAUGAGUCCAGAGGUCACUCUAACACCUUCCUGAAUGAGUCCAGAGGUCACUCUAACACCUUCCUGAAUGAGUUCAGAGGUCACUCUAACACCUUCCUGAAUGAGUCCAGAGGUCACUCUAACACCUUCCUGAAUGAGUCCAGAGGUCACACUAACACCUUCCUGAAUGAGUCCAGAGGUCACUCUAACACCUUCCUGAAUGAGUCCAGAGGUCACUCUAACACCUUCCUGAAUUAGUCCAGAGGUCACUCUAACACCUUCCUGAAUGAGUCCAGAGGUCACUCUAACACCUUCCUGAAUGAGUUCAGAGGUCACUCUAACACCUUCCUGAAUGAGUCCAGAGGUCACUCUAACACCUUCCUGAAUGAGUCCAGAGGUCACACUAACACCUUCCUGAAUGAGUCCAGAGGUCACUCUAACACCUUCCUGAAUGAGUCCAGAGGUCACUAACACCUUCCUGAAUGAGUCCAGAGGUCACUCUAACACCUUCCUGAAUGAGUCCAGAGGUCACUCUAACACCUUCCUGAAUGAGUCCAGAGGUCACUCUAACACCUUCCUGAAUGAGUUCAGAGGUCACUCUAACACCUUCCUGAAUGAGUCCAGAGGUCACUCUAACACCUUCCUGAAUGAGUUAUAGAUGUUAAACACUGGACUAUAAUAUUAUUCUGGCCUUUGCAUUGAUUGCUCUAAAUCUGUGUAACACUUUUUGUCUUCCCCUCUCUGACGGGAAACAACACCCUGUCCCCGAAGUCAUGUUUAUAUCCUCCUCUGGAAAGAGUUUUUCAUUAUUGUUAUUGAGUUAUUGUCUUUCCCUUUACUCACUGACCACUCCCCUCUUUGAUAUACUAUCGACCAUGUUCCUCAUAUGUCGUAACUAUACACUACUUAUUAUAUACAUGUGUGAUGAAGGACCCUUUGGACAUCUGGUAUCUGAAUGCCUCAAGUUAACAAAGUAUUCUGAUACUGUGAUCAGGUGUAUUGAACACAGGUGUAUUGAACACAGUCCUUCUAAGAUCAGGUGUGUUGAAACAGGUGUAUUGAACACAGUCCUUCUAAGAUCAGGUGUGUUGAAACAGGUGUAUUGAACACAGUCCUUCUAAGAUCAGGUGUGUUGAAACAGGUGUAUUCACAGUCCUUCUAAGAUCAGGUGUGUUGAAACAGGUGUAUUGAACACAGUCCUUCUAAGAUCAGGUGUGUUGAAACAGGUGUAUUCACAGUCCUUCUAAGAUCAGGUGUGUUGAAACAGGUGUAUUGAACACAGUCCUUCUAAGAUCAGGUGUGUUGAAACAGGUGUAUUCACAGUCCUUCUAAGAUCAGGUGUGUUGAAACAGGUGUAUUGAACACAGUCCUUCUAAGAUCAGGUGUGUUGAAACAGGUGUAUUGAACACAGUCCUUCUAAGAUCAGGUGUGUUGAAACAGGUGUAUUCACAGUCCUUCUAAGAUCAGGUGUGUUGAAACAGGUGUAUUCACAGUCCUUCUAAGAUCAGGUGUGUUGAAACAGGUGUAUUGAACACAGUCCCUCUAAGAUCAGGUGUGUUGAAACAGGUGUAUUGAACACAGUCCUUCUAAGAUCAGGUGUGUUGAAACAGGUGUAUUGAACACAGUCCUUCUAAGAUCAGGUGUGUUGAAGUUCUCACCUGACCUGUUGUGUCAUGAGAAAUAUAAAUAAUAAAAAACAUAAUCAAAUGAAUAUAUUUCGUUGAACAUGACAAAAUAUAAAGACAUUGUACUAUACUGUAUUACCAAUGUGAUGUUGACAUACAUGAGUACAGUGUAAUAUUUUAGCUUAUUUAUAAUGCACCAGCCAGCCUUUACAGUAAAACCAGCAUAUAGCAUUGUAUAUAUCAACUGAUUUAUGCUCUCUUGGGUGGUUCCAUCUGGUUCCAAAUGGUUCCAACUGGUUUCAAAUGGUUCCAACUGGUUUCAAAUGGUUCCAGCUGGUUUCAAAUGGUUCCAACUGGUUUCAAAUGGUUCCAACUGGUUUCAAAUGGUUCCAACUGGUUCCAAAUGGUUCCAAAUGGUUCCAACUGGUUUCAAAUGGUUCCAACUGGUUCCAAAUGGUUCCAAAUGGUUCCAUCUGGUUUCAAAUGGUUCCAAAUGGUUCCAAAUGGUUCCAACUGGUUUCAAAUGGUUCCAAAUGGUUCCAACUGGUUUCAAAUGGUUCCAACUGGUUCCAAAUGGUUCCAAAUGGUUCCAUCUGGUUUCAAAUGGUUCCAAAUGGUUCCAAAUGGUUCCAACUGGUUUCAAAUGGUUCCAAAUGGUUCCAACUGGUUCCAAAUGGUUCCAAAUGGUUCCAACUGGUUUCAAAUGGUUCCAACUGGUUCUAAAUGGUUCCAAAUGGUUCCAUCUGGUUUCAAAUGGUUCCAAAUGGUUCCAAAUGGUUCCACCUGUUUUCAAAUGGUUUAGAAAUUCAUUAAAUGUUACUGUGUAGCUUCAUUUUGUAACAAUGUAUGCUCCUUUUUAUGUUAUUUUAGUUAUAUCAUUAUAAUGUUGACUGUUGUUACUCUAUCCUUGUUGUUGUUAUAUUAUUCAUAUGUAAACAUUGUUAUGCUAUAUUAUGAAACUCUGUGCCAAUCAAAAUCGCUAGUCGGCUUUUACCUGUCUCACUGGAUAAGAAAACACACACACACACACAGAGAGAGAGAGAGAGAGAGAGAGAGAGAGAGAGAGAGAGAGAGAGAGAGAGAGAGAGAGAGAGAGAGAGUAGAGAAUUGAAGGAGUUUGUCUGGUGGGAGUCCGUGAUGUCAUCGGGCUCCGUCUUGCUUGAGAAACAGCAGAGACCUAAAGAGGAAAGGCCAUCCUGUGUCACACCCUGUCACACCUGGACCACCGAUUGAGAUGUGGCUUUUGUUAAGGAAAUCAGGUGUUAAAUGACACUUUAAAUCUUUACUUCAUUUUUUAAAAAUACAUUUAUCUUAUUACUCUAAUUCUUAUGGCUUAAAGCCCUUCAGAGCACUAAAAUACUUAAUGAAAACAUAAAUACCCCUCCUUCAUUCACCUCUAUACUAUUCCUGUUCCUGCUUUUAAAGUCCUCCCUAUAAAUGUGUGAUUUUUAGUCUUACCUCUUACUUUGUUUUUAAUACACGAUCAUUACAUUUAUUUUGGAACCUUUGCUGUUUUGUAUUUUUUGUGUUAAAGAUGUUGUCAUAAUAUGAAUGCAGUGAAUAAAAUAUUGAUUGAAAACAAAA